GCCCGAGUGGCGGAAUUGGUAGACGCGCUGGUCUCAAAAACCUGUGAGCGCAAGCUCGUGCCGGUUCGAUCCCGGCCUCGGGUA
rnacentral:tRNA from 3 species